UCAAGCUACAAAGAGCACAAGGGGAAUGCCUUGGCACCGAGAGCCGAAGAAGGACGUGACUAACUGCGAUAAGCUACGGGGAGCUGUAAGUGAGCGUUAUAUCCGUAGAUUUCCGAAUGGAGCAAUCCGGCCAGAGGAAAGUCUGGUCAUCAUAUACUGAAUACAUAGGUAUAUGAGGGGAACCGCCUGAACUGAAACAUCUAAGUAGGGCGAGGAAGAGAAAUCAACUGAGAUUCCGUAAGUAGUGGCGAGCGAACGCGGAAGAGGCCAAACCUAGAGUAGAAAUACUUUAGGGGUUCGGACAGUAUAAUGAAUUGUCGAGAUUUAGCCGAAUGUCAUGGGAAGGGCAAUCAAAGAUGGUGAAAAUCCAGUAGGCGAAAAGUUAAGACAUCAGACUGUAUCCAGAGUACCGCCGGACACGUGAAACCCGGUGGGAAUACGGGGGGACCAUCCUCCAAGCCUAAAUACUACUCGGUGACCGAUAGAGAAGAAGUACUGUGAAGGAAAGGUGAAAAGCACCCCGGAAGGGGAGUGAAAGAGAACCUGAAACCUUGUGUUUACAAGCACCGAAAGUUCAUCAACGAACGAUCGGGUACCUUUUGUAGAAUGGUCCGGCGAGUGAAUGUAACUGGCAAGGUUAAGCACUUAAGGUGUGAAGCCGUAGCGAGAGCGAGUCUGAAGAGGGCGCAUGAAGUCAGUUGUAUUCGACCCGAAACCGGGUGACCUACCCAUGUCCAGGCUGAAGUGCAGGUAAAACUUCAUGGAGGGCCGAACCGACUCCCGUUGAAAUGGUAGCGGAUGAGGUGUGGGUAGCGGAGAAAUUCCAAUCGAACCCGGAGAUAGCUGGUUCUCUCCGAAAUAGCUUUAGGGCUAGCCUUGGAAUAGAUUACUGGAGGUAAAGCACUGAAUUGGCUAGGGGCCGAGAGGUUACUGAACCUUAUCAAACUAAGAAUGCCAGAUAAUCGUUUUCCAGGAGUCAGACAGUGGGAGAUAAGUUUCAUUGUCAAAAGGGAAACAGCCCAGACCUACAGCUAAGGUCCCAAAGUAUAGUUAAGUGGAAAAGGAUGUGGAAUUGCAUAGACAACCAGGAUGUUGGCUUAGAAGCAGCCACUCAUUAAAAGAGUGCGUAAUAGCUCACUGGUCGAGUGAUUCUGCGCCGAAAAUUUAACGGGGCUAAACUAUACACCGAAGCUUAGGAUACCGCAAGGUAUGGUAGGAGAGCGUUCUGUACGGAGUGAAGUCGUAGCGAAAGCGGCGGUGGACUGUACAGAAGUGAGAAUGCCGGAAUAAGUAGCGAGAAUUAAGUGAGAAUCUUAAUGGCCGAAAGUCUAAGGUUUUUGGAGGAAGGUUCGUCCGCUCCAAGUAAGUCGGGAGCUAAGGUCAGGCCGAAAGGCGUAGCCGAUGCACAAACGGUUGAUAUUCCGUUACCGUCUAUAAUUUAAACAAAGGGACACAUACAAAGCGUUUAACCCGGGCGAUGGUUGACCCGGGCGCAAGGGACUGAAAUUAGAGUAGGGAAGUAAAUGUGGCGUAUGGCGAGAAAAGCUUUGUGUAUAGAAGUAGACGCCCGUACCGCAAACCGACACAGGUGGACAGGAAGAGAAUUCUAAGGCCAGCGGGAGAAGGGUAGUUAAGGAACUCGGCAAAUUGACUCCGUAACUUCGGAAUAAGGAGUGCUCGAAAGAGCCGCAGAGAAUAGGCCCAGGCGACUGUUUAGCAAAAACACAGGUCUCUGCCAAAUCGAAAGAUGAAGUAUAGGGGCUGACACCUGCCCGGUGCCGGAAGGUUAAGAGGAGGAGUGCAAGCUCCGAAUUGAAGCCCCGGUAAACGGCGGCCGUAACUAUAACGGUCCUAAGGUAGCGAAAUUCCUUGUCGGGUAAGUUCCG
rnacentral:rRNA from 1 species